CUCUAUGGCCAUGCCACCCUGAACAAGCUCGAUCCCGUCUGAUCUCGGAAGCUAAGCAGGGUCAGGCCUGGUUAGUACUUGGAUGGGAGACUACCUAGGAAGACCAGGUGCUAUAGGCA
rnacentral:rRNA from 1 species